UAGGGAAUAUUGGUUAAUGUGCGAAAGCGCGAACCAGCAAUGCCGCGUGUGCGAUGAAGGCCUUCGGGUCGUAAAGCACUUUUUGCAGGGACGAGGAAGGACGGUACCUGCAGAAUAAGUCUCGGCUAACUACGUGCCAGCAGCCGCGGUAAAACGUAGGAGACGAGCGUUAUCCGGAUUUACUGGGCGUAAAGCGCGUGCAGGCGGCAUGGCAAGUUGGAUGUGAAAGCUCCUGGCUUAACUGGGAGAGGUCGUUCAAUACUGCCAAGCUUGAGAGUGGUAGAGGGAAGCGGAAUUCCGGGUGUAGUGGUGAAGUGCGUAGAUAUCCGGAGGAACACCAGUGGCGAAAGCGGCUUCCUGGCCCAUUUCUGACGCUCAGACGCGAAAGCUAGGGUAGCAAACGG
rnacentral:rRNA from 1 species